rnacentral:rRNA from 1 species
AUUGAACGCUGGCGGCAGGCCUAACACAUGCAAGUCGAACGGUAACAGGGAUCAUCUUGCUGAUUCGCUGACGAGUGGCGGACGGGUGAGUAAUGUCUGGGAAACUGCCUGAUGGAGGGGGAUAACUACUGGAAACGGUAGCUAAUACCGCAUAACGUCGCAAGACCAAAGAGGGGGACCUUCGGGCCUCUUGCCAUCGGAUGUGCCCAGAUGGGAUUAGCUAGUAGGUGGGGUAACGGCUCACCUAGGCGACGAUCCCUAGCUGGUCUGAGAGGAUGACCAGCCACACUGGAACUGAGACACGGUCCAGACUCCUACGGGAGGCAGCAGUGGGGAAUAUUGCACAAUGGGCGCAAGCCUGAUGCAGCCAUGCCGCGUGUAUGAAGAAGGCCUUCGGGUUGUAAAGUACUUUCAGCGGGGAGGAAGGGAGUAAAGUUAAUACCUUUGCUCAUUGACGUUACCCGCAGAAGAAGCACCGGCUAACUCCGUG